GUACUUGGAAGUAAGAUCCGACAGACAGGUACGAGAGCCAAGAGACUGGGCCGCCGGCGGGUCCCCCGCGGCCCCCCCUGGGGCCCCCCGCCGAGGCAUAAGAUAUGGGUAUGGUCCGCGCGGUCCGGAGCACCGAGCUCGGCAAUGAUCCCUCCGCUGGUUCACCAACGGAGA
rnacentral:misc_RNA from 1 species